rnacentral:rRNA from 1 species
UACGUAGGGGGCAAGCGUUGUCCGGAAUUAUUGGGCGUAAAGCGCGCGCAGGCGGUUCUUUAAGUCUGGUGUCUAAGUGCGGGGCUCAACCCCGUGAUGCACUGGAAACUGGGGAACUUGAGUGCAGAAGAGGAGAGCGGAAUUCCACGUGUAGCGGUGAAAUGUGUAGAGAUGUGGAGGAACACCAGUGGCGAAGGCGGCUCUCUGGACUGUGACUGACGCUGAGGCGCGAAAGCGUGGGGAGCAAACAGG